GACGAACGCUGGCGGCGUGCCUAAUACAUGCAAGUCGAGCGGACAGAUGGAGAGCUUGCUCUCCUGAAGUCAGCGGCGGACGGGUGAGUAACACGUGGGCAACCUGCCUGUAAGACUGGGAUAACUUCGGGAAACCGGAGCUAAUACCGGAUAAUUCCUUCCUCCUCCUGGAGGAAGGCUGAAAGAUGGUUUCGGCUAUCACUUACAGAUGGGCCCGCGGCGCAUUAGCUAGUUGGUGAGGUAACGGCUCACCAAGGCCACGAUGCGUAGCCGACCUGAGAGGGUGAUCGGCCACACUGGGACUGAGACACGGCCCAGACUCCUACGGGAGGCAG
rnacentral:rRNA from 1 species